GCCAGGUGUGGUGGCAGGCGCCUGUAAUCCCAGCUACUCUGGAGGCUGAGGCAGGAGAUUUGCUUGAACCCGGGAGGCAGAGGUUGCAGUGAGCCAAGAUAGGGCCACUGCACUCCAGCCUGGGCAACAAAGCAAGACCCUGCCUCGA
rnacentral:SRP_RNA from 1 species